CCUACGGGGGGCAGCAGUAGGGAAUCUUUCACAAUGGGCGAAAGCCUGAUGGAGCAACGCCGCGUGCAGGAUGAAGGCCUUCGGGUUGUAAACUGCUUUUAUAAGCGAGAAAUAUGAUGGUAACUUAUGAAUAAGGAUCGGCUAACUACGUGCCAGCAGCCGCGGUCAUACGUAGGAUCCGAGCAUUAUCCGGAGUGACUGGGUGUAAAGAGUUGCGUAGGUGGCAUAAUAAGUAGCUAGUGAAAUCUGGUGGCUCAACCAUUCAGACUAUUAGCUAAACUGUUAAGCUCGAGAACGUUAGGGGUAACUGGAAUUUCUAGUGUAGGAGUGAAAUCCGUAGAUAUUAGCAAGAACACCGAUCGCGUAGGCAGGUUACUGGGACGGUUCUGACACUAAGGCACGAAAGCGUAGGGAGCAAACGGGAUUAGAUACCCCAGUAGUC
rnacentral:rRNA from 1 species